UUAAAAUGAAAACAAAAACAAACAAAAUCUACUAUUGAUUAUUCACUAAUCAUGAUACCAUUAAUUAAGGGCAUAAAAUAUAAUAAUCUUGAGGAUAGUUAAAUUUUCUAUAAUUAGGACCAAGCUUAUUAUGACAUGGAGAUGGAUCAGAAGGUGGUACUGGUCCUCUUGGAAGUUGAUUUAAUAACAAUUUCUCAUAAUCCAAUUUCUCCUUCAUAACUCUAAUGCUUUCAACAACUCUAAUUGAAUUCAUAGUUGUAAUUAGUAGAAGAAAUAAUACCAAAUCCUUCAUACGAAGUAUAUUAAUUCGUCGAUUGCACAUCGACAUUUUCUUCUCUAGCAUGCUAUCAAAGAGUCGAUGAUGAACACGAUUCUGAACGAGUGUCUUUCUGUUGAGGUUGCUUCUGAAUGAUUCGAUUUAAGAAAAAAAAAAAAAAACUUGUGGGGGAGAAAAAGAAGAAGAAAGAAU
rnacentral:lncRNA from 1 species